GACGAACGCUGGCGGCGUGCUUAACACAUGCAAGUCGAACGAUGAAGCUGGAGCUUGCUCCGGUGGAUUAGUGGCGAACGGGUGAGUAACACGUGAGUAAUCUGCCCUUGACUCUGGAAUAACUGCGGGAAACUGUAGCUAAUACCGGAUACGACACCUUCGGGCAUCCGAUGGGUGUGGAAAGAAUUUCGGUCAAGGAUGAACUCGCGGCCUAUCAGCUAGUUGGUGAGGUAAUGGCUCACCAAGGCGACGACGGGUAGCCGGCCUGAGAGGGUGACCGGCCACACUGGGACUGAGACACGGCCCAGACUCCUACGGGAGGCAGCAGUGGGGAAUAUUGCACAAUGGGCGAAAGCCUGAUGCAGCAACGCCGCGUGAGGGAUGAAGGCCUUCGGGUUGUAAACCUCUUUUAGUUGGGAAGAAGCGAAAGUGACGGUACCAACAGAAAAAGCACCGGCUAACUACGUGCCAGCCGCCGCAGUAACAC
rnacentral:rRNA from 1 species